rnacentral:rRNA from 1 species
CCUACGGGUGGCAGCAGUGGGGAAUAUUGGACAAUGGGCGAAAGCCUGAUCCAGCCAUGCCGCGUGUGUGAAGAAGGCCUUCGGGUUGUAAAGCACUUUCAGUGGGGAAGAAAGCCUUGGGGCUAAUACCCUCGAGGAAGGACAUCACCCACAGAAGAAGCACCGGCUAACUCCGUGCCAGCAGCCGCGGUAAUACGGAGGGUGCGAGCGUUAAUCGGAAUUACUGGGCGUAAAGCGCGCGUAGGCGGUCUGAUAAGCCGGUUGUGAAAGCCCCGGGCUCAACCUGGGAACGGCAUCCGGAACUGUCAGGCUAGAGUGCAGGAGAGGAAGGGAGAAUUCCCGGUGUAGCGGUGAAAUGCGGAGAGAUCGGGAGGAAUACCAGUGGCGAAGGCGGCCUUCUGGACUGACACUGACGCUGAGGUGCGAAAGCGUGGGUAGCAAACAGGAUUAGAUACCCGAGUAGUCC